AAAAGAUGGAGUUAGCCAAAACUCGCCGCGUCCUGCGGCAAAGGCUAACUGAUCUGCGUCACGCAGA
rfam:Sporosarcina newyorkensis 2681 genomic scaffold SCAFFOLD3, whole genome shotgun sequence.